rnacentral:rRNA from 1 species
CCUACGGGAGACAGCAGUGGGGAAUAUUGCACAAUGGGCGAAAGCCUGAUGCAGCAACGCCGCGUGAGCGAUGAAUGCCUUCGGGUCGUAAAGCUCUGUCCUCAUGGAAGAUAAUGACGGUACUUGAGGAGGAAGCCCCGGGUAACUAGUUCCAAGCAGCCGCGGUAGUACGUAGGGGGCUAGGGUUAUCCGGAAUUACUGGUCGUAAAGGGGGCGUAGUUGGUUUCUUAGGUCCGAGGGGAAAGGCUACGGCUCAACCGUAGAGAGCCGUUGAAACUGGGGGACUUGAGUGCAGUAGAGGAGAGUGGAAUUCCUGGUGUAGCGGUGAAAUGCUUAGAUAUUAGGAGGAACACCAGUUGCGAAGGCGGCUCUCUGGACUGUAACUGACACUGAGGCACGAAAGUGUGGGGAGCAAACAGGAUUAGAUACCCUUGUAGUC